AUGUUGUGCAAGGGCAAAUCCAAAGGGAGUACCCCAGCAUCUACCGAUUCAUUGGAGCCGGUAUUGCGGAUGGCUCUGACCUCCUCACAGAGUUCGUUAAGAGAUCUCGUCAGGUCUGACAGCAUAGUUAAUAUCUUUUGUGAGAUUAAUGGCUUAAGCAGUCAGAGGCGAAAAACUAAUAUAUCCAUAAGUGAUGGUGUAACAUUCUGCAUUCAAGUAUUGGUUGUUUUAACUGCUAAAAGUGUUUGCUAGUUUUUGCCUCUCACAUAUAUAUGAUAUUUGUAUAUGUAGCUUGCCAUCACCAGUGCGUGAAUGUGUGUGUGAAUGGGUGGAUGACUGAAUGUGUAAAGCACUUUGGGGCCUUAGGGACUAGUUAAAGCGCUGUACAAAUAUAGGCCAUUUACCAUUUAUACCAUGUAAAAUCUGAAAUUCCAAGAUGUUCGAACUUGCCUUGUAAUAGUGGCCUCACAGAGUCUCUGGAAUCUACAGAAAAACAAAUCACAACACGAUGACAUUCAGGAGUAUAAACUGGUGUUUUGAAGAUAAGUGCACAAUGACAUUGUGAUUCAGCUUUAAAACAAUUAUAAAAGCAUACCAUCUAUAGGGAAGGCCUCGACAUCAGACUCUGCAUGCUGGGGAGAUCGCAAAGCUGUGUCGUUUGGAGUGUUCUGCCGGAGUGGCGAAAGGUGCCGGAAGCUGGGAGGGGCAUUAUGAUGCCUGCUGUCAGUGGGCUGGGGGGAAGACUGUGGAGUGGUGAGGGCUGUUUAGAAAAAGAUAAUUUUUUUAAAGUAUUAAAGAAUACAGACAACUUGUCCAAAAAGUUUCCAUGUGUCACACACAGAUAUGUACACAGACACUAGACAUUAUUUUAUUACCUGGUAUUUUCACUCGAGGUGCCUGGGGAAACCGUUUUUUUGUGGGCUACUCAUCCUCUGAGUCACUAUAUGUGUACUGGGGAUUUGGUCUUAAGAAAUAAGUAGAAAAAGUUCAUAGGUAAUUACAAAUGUGCUUUUGGCAUAUUUUUUCCUAAAGUUACAGUUUGAUUUAUAAUAACAAACAUACAGGAAACCGAGAUCUGCAAGAAGGUGCAGUAUACAAUGAAUUUUUGAAGUGCACAAGUGUACAAAUUUACACUUUUUGGACUAUAUUAUGUGGUUAUAUUGCAGUAUUCAAGCAUCACAGAUAUGUACAAAAAACAAGAUUAUAAACUAUUAACAAUCAAAGAUAUGUUUGUGAAUAAAAAAAAGUUACUUGUGCUUUCUUUUAUGACUGGUCUGAGUUUAAGCUUCGGACUGAAGGUCAGACGUAUCACAGUGUUCACUUAGUCCUAUGUGUGAAGGGACAGUUACUGUGUGUAUAUAUGUAAGUAUUUAAAAACUGAAUAUACUAAAAUUAACAGUAUUUUGUCCAAGUCUGCCAUUGUAGGAAUUCAUGGCACCGAGACAAAAACAGGCGCAGACUUUUGACGCUGCGUUUUCUCCGUUUUUCUCGUCCACACAUAAAUGCAAAAACGGCGUUUUCGAAAAUAUCCACCCUGGCAUGCGUUUUUAGAAAUCUAGAUUUUCAGUGACCAAAAACGCUGUUUACGUGUGGACAAAAGGUGCAAACGCAAUUGGUAGGUGAGCGUGCAACGUAAAGUUUGAAUUGAGUGCGAAUUGAAGCGGGUGCUCUCCAAUCAUUAAAAGUAACAAAGUCCUUGAACACAUUUAUACAGUUACCAUUACGUUUAUCAAUCAUAUAUCACAGAUUUAGAAUUUUUUGUAGUACUGAGCAACUACAGAGCGAAAGUCUGGUACAAGCGCAGAGGCGACGGCAAGAACAAAGGAACCCUCGAAGCGUUAAAGCUAGCUUUGUAAGGGAAUACAACGAAGAAAUUAUGAAACGAAAGUGUUUUCUUUGUUGAUAGACUUUGUUCGCAGCGCAAUUUAUUUGUUCCCGGAUUGUAAGAAGUAGACACAAUUUCGGGCUCCCACAUUUUGUGGGAGCAAUGUAAAUAACAGUAAAAAACUUGUUAAUGUACAACAUUAACAAGUUUUUUACUGUUAUUCAAAUGCCAACAUGGAAAUAACGAGUAGAAAAAAAUCAUUCAUUCUUACCUUAUACUAAUCAUGGUGCAGGCCAGUGCAGUGCAUGAACUGAUGCCUUCUCCGGUCAAUUCCGCUGAGAGUAAAUCAAAUGUCCCGCUCUACUGUACAAGACAAUGGUUACCUGGAGGGGUGUACCAAUGUGAGAGGGGUGCUGCGGAAUAGUCCAAGUGAUCGCUGCUUUAAUUUCCCGGUCAACUAUACAUAAAUUGCACGUAGACACGAUUUUUUAAAGCUGGUGAACUAGACCAAGUCAUUGAUAACAAAUGAGCAAUAAAUCUACUUUCUCUGGUACUUUAUACCCGAUCAGUUGCAAUGCAAUUUAAUGCUCAACUACAAAUCGAUGGUUUUUGAUGGUGACCGGAGCCGAAUGAUCGUCAACUUAAAUAGACGUUUUCUCGACGUUGUUGUUGUCACCUGGUCGACUACAAACAGAUCAAAUAUCAAUGACAAAAAAACAACGUUAAAUCAACAUUGUUACAACGUCCCUAUAGUAAGACCGUCGGUUUACCACAGUAUUUCAAUGUUGUUACAACAUUGGCAUUUCAACCCCGACCAUAUACGACGGAUCGGAUGAAAAAUCAACAUAGAUUCAAUGUCGUCUUGCUAUCUGUGGAGAGGAGAACUAAGCUGAACUCCCUCGGGAGGUAAAAUGGCCUGACUUUAAUGGUCAGUAGGUCGAGGCUCUGAGAGCAGUAAGUUUUUAAGAUACACACAUCUC
ensembl:lncRNA